rnacentral:lncRNA from 1 species
AAAUAAUAGAUUAAAGUGCAUUGAACAAGACAAGAAGCAUAGAGAAGGUGACCAUAUCAUACAAAUAUAUAUAUAGUUUGUCCUAACGCCUAAAAUCUAUCUUGUUCACACUAAACUUGUAGCUUGCCUUCCCAUCCACAUCAAGUCACAUGCGUCCAGUUACUUGUAGCUUCCAUCCACAUCAAGUCACAUGCUUCCAUCAUGCUACAAAAUAAGAGGAACCAAAGUUUCUAGGACGUCAGCAACUAUUUAUGUACUAUGCUUGUAGCUAGAGAAAUGAGAAAUAAAAUAGAAAAUAUAUUAUAUGCAAAUCAAUUUUUAGAGACUAUGCAUUAGCAUUUGAUUCUUCAGAACUUUUAGGCUACAAACUAAUAACAGAACCUCCUUACUUGCAUUCUGAAAUAUAUUGUCCAAAUUUCAAUUGUUACAUGUUAUCACAUAGUUCCACUGACAACUCAAUAUCUAAUCAUUUGCUCUCAGUUGUAUAUAGCAUCUAUCUUAUCAAUUUAAAGAAGCCAUUUAAUUUGCUCUCAGUCUUACUCUAAAGGCUGCUAAGAGUAUAUGCUCAUAUCAAAAUUAGUAUAGAAAAACCAAAAAAACGCUGAGUCUCAUGUGAUCCAGAUAGACACAGUAGACUGAUACGAGGUGUUCUAUCACUCGGCAACGAUUUGCUCAUGUGGUAGCGAUGACUAGGCAAAAUCCUGGUUUACUUUAGAACUAUGGCAUGUGACUGCUGCCAUUUGCAAAGAACUAUAGUACUUAGGACAAUAGAAUGUACCUAAAUGCUAUAUUGUAACUAAGAAACUAGAGAUAGAAAGGUUAUUGUGUUACCCAAACAUCAUUUGUUGGAGAGUAAACAUUUUCAUUUGAGUCUUCAGGAUCAAUGCCAAUAUCAUUAUUACUGUAAGUGCCAUGGCCAUCAUCAUCAUCAUCAUCACUACAAGCGUGCGCUCUGUAUCAUCACCAUCAUCCAUUU